AUAUUUUCCAUACCUCGAUCCCCAUAUCGAUCGAUACCAUUUUUUCUGGGCUUUGCAAUCUAUGCAAUCUUACCCAUAUAGCUUACUUGUGAGAGACUAUGCGGAAACAUGGCGCAUACCUUAAUGACAUUUUAAUUUCAAUCUUUUAAAUGUUUCUUUUUAUUUCAACAUUAAUUUUUACCUUUUGGAAAAACUAUACAUUAGUGAAUUAAAGAUUCAAGAUUCCUCAUCGACUGACGAUCAAAAUACAAAUCGUUAAUUCCGUUAUGUAAAUAUUCAUUUCGAAAAUUCUCUCUACUUUCAAGAGAAACUUUUCAAAGUCGCCGAGACGUGCGCAGCACUUCGCAUAGUCUCUCACAUGUAAGCCAUAUGCGUACCCUUUUUUCAAAUUAAUGUUAAAACAGUAAAAGACAUUCAUUUUAAUAAUUAUCUUAUAGAAUUGUUUUAUGUAUAUCAAAAUGUAGCCAGUUAUGAUUUUAAUAAUAAAAAGGGCUACCAUAAAAAGAAACGUUAUUUAUUUAAGAAGAUAUAACUCUAGGAUUAUAUAGUGUAAUAAAUAUGGUGUCAUUUGAAGAGACAUGUCUAACAGGCAAAACUUUUGGCUGUAGUUCAAAUAUACCCUGUUGCAGAAACUAAAUUUUUUUUCAGUCCAAAUGACAAAACAAGAAUGAAAAUGUCAUCUUCAAGUUUUCCUUUAAUGCAAAAUUAUCAGUUCUAUAGAUUGUAAAAGUACAAUUCAUUAGGAUGAGGUUCAGUGGUUAGCGUAGAGAAUAGCUCCUUGGUAAAUAGUUGCUUAAUAUUUUUGAAGAUCAGAAUUAAUUCUGCUGCCAUACUGUUUUUUUAAAGAGGGAUUCAAGUCUGGCCCACUGAACCUUAUUCUUCAACCUUCCAGUUGAUUGCAUUGUUGGUGAUAUCCAGUCUGUGGUAAUUCUAAAAGUGACUGCUGCCAAAAAUAUCUCGUGUGAUUCAUUGGCAUAAUUAAAUUUAACCUUAACCAUUUAUUAGAGAGCUAAAGAUUAAUCAUUGUCAUUUGAUUAAAGUUCAAUUAAAGAUCCAUAAAAAUACAAAUUUAAUUAGAAAGUUAUUAAGGAAUUAUCAAAUUUUGACCAAACUUCUAUUUGUUAUAUGUCUAAACAGAAAAAUUAUAGAACAUAUUUAUUUCUAUUGUUUGGAAGUGAACAAUUGGGUUUUAUAUUAGAGCAUAUUUGGAACUACAAACAAAAUUUCAUGAAGAACCAUAAGUCAAAGAUUUCCAUUUUCAGAAUUACAAUUUCACAUAGUAUAUAUAUAUAUCAGAAAUUUAUUAUAUGCUUUAAAAUGCUUAAUAUUGAUUUUCUGAUAAAAUGCACAAAUCAUCUGCUCUGUUAUUUCAUAUAUUCGUAUACUGGGUCUAUUGUUAUCAUUUGAAAAUCAUGACCAUUAACUGAAACCAAAAACCUCAUUGGCCUAUCAUAUAAAUUUUCCAAGGGGUGGAUCAUUCUAAUUCAAUCCCUGGUUUUCUGAAUGAAAAGCCAAAGCAUUUGCACCCAGUCAGACUGAUCAAAUGUCCUGUAUACUAUUAGUUAGUGCUGGUAUAAA
rnacentral:lncRNA from 1 species